ACUCACUGAUAUUCCUUCUCAGAGCAGGCUGAGAAAGGUCCUGAAAGAGAGGAGUCAGAGGUUCUGAGUUGCUUCAGAUGGAUCAAAAUGUUUCCCCUCAAAAUACGGGGUUUAUUUCUGACAGAAAUCAGAAGGGAACAUUUUGGACCUGGUGGCAUAAACCUGCUGUGCAUUUUGCUGCAAGGGAUGAAAGGAGAUCACAAGACCCACAUCCAUCCUGACCUCCAAAUGUCAAGUGUCUGGAACGAGCUGCUUCCAAGGGAGGCACAAGGCAAAUGUUCCCUGUGUGAAGAAAUCAAUUGAGCACUGCUACCCCCAGAAUGCAGAGAAAAAUGUUCAGGUGCUAAAUGCCUUUUGGAUGAUUGGGAUCCAUUAAUGGAUAGCUUACAGCAUCCAUUGAAGAUGGUGAGAAGAGAUGGGGAAGCCAUCGACAGCAGCCAUCAGAUGAGGAGAAGCCUGGACAUGGCCAUGAGGACCUCCAGCUCUCUCAUGGAGGACCUGGAGCUCACCGCGGUGCUGCGUGGCACCAGGCAAGGGACAGAGUACACUGUUCCCCCUGCCAGCACCAGCACUUUCUCCCUGCAACAAAGGGGAUGCACAAGGAGCAGCCCCCCUGGUCCCGGCCCCCCUCCUGCUGCUGGAAGUCAGGCAAGAGGCAGGAGGGCACUGGCUUCUCCUAGUCACCCUGCGGACACAGACAGGACAUUUUCGCCAGGACCAGCUCUGUCCUCAUCCCCAGCAUCGCAGGCCCAAAGCGUGCUUCCCAGCACCCCUAUGCCCAGCUCCCCAGGUCAGCCCCCCUCUUUUCCACACGCUCCCAGCACCCAGACUGGUGCAAGAGGCACCACACUGCAUCCUGAGGAUGCUGCAUGGAGUUCCACAAGCCCUGAGCUCACAGGAUCACCCACCUCCAAAAACACUUCCAGAGCUGCUGGAAGCAGCCACCAAACAUCCAAUGGCUCAUCACUGGAGAAGAGAAUUUGGGGUUUCCACACCACGAGUGACUCCAUGUCCGCCACAGCCACCAGAAGCACAGGGAGGACGUUGCAGUCUCUGCCUGCCAGCACCACCCUGGUCCAUCCGGCAGAGAUUUCCACCUCUGGUGCCAAAACCAUUGACCGGACCCCAUCUCCUGGGACACCUUUGGGAGCAGGGACUGAUGGUGGCACAGGGGCCACCGUGUCCUCUGCAGAUCUGUUGCUUGCCAACGCAGGCAGCGCUUCCACAUCCUCUCACAGCAGUCAAGAGCCCAGGAGCAUCCUAACUGCUGGAGAGGUGAUGCUGCACUCAGAUGUGUCCAUUGUGCUCAACAACAUGACAGUGGGAACAAUGGGUUCCACUCCAAGCUCUAACACCAGCCCUGAUCCCACCAGCAUUUCAGGGGACACUUUGUCCUCCUCAGGGGCUGGGACACAUGGAGCUGGCAGCUGGCAGAGAGACCCCUCUACACAGCCCCGCGAACCUUUGCUUGCCAGCUCACUCUCUGCCUCCAGACGUACAUUUGCAGGUGUCAGAAGCAGCCACCAGCCAACUGACACGUCAACAACAGAGGAAGAAACCACAGCGUCCUCUGCCACCAGUGCUUACAUUUCAGCCACGGCCACUGGCAGCGGGGGGAGACCUCCGAGGUCUGCCACAAACAGCAGUGGAUGGGCAGCAGAAGUCUCUGCUUCCAGCAGUGGUGCGACCAGGACCUCAGGCACUGUCAGAUCACCACCUGCCUCUUCUGUAAGAGAGACCCACGGAGUGCCUGGGUCCAGGGAGAUCACAGCUUCCAGGCAGCCUGAAGCAGAGUCCUCACUGCCGCUCUCUCCUUCUCCUGCAGAAGACCCUUCCAUAGCUUCCAGAAGCAGCCACAUGCCAUUUAGCAGCCUGGAGACAGAGAAGAGAACUGAUUUCCACGCCACCAGUGACUCCAUGUCCGCCACAGCCACCAGAAGCACAGGGAGGACGUUGCAGUCUCUGCCUGCCAUCACCACCCUGGUCCAUCCGGCAGAGAUUUCCACCUCUGGUGCCAAAACCAUUGACCCUCCAGAGUGGACUCUGUCUCCUGGGACACCUUUGGGAGCAGGGGCUGAUGGUGGCACUGGAACCACUGCAUCCUCUCCGGGGUCACAGCUUGCCAUUUCAAGCAGUGCUUCUUCCACAGCCAAAGGGGCUACAACCUCAGCCAGGGGAGGAAGGCUGCCCGACGAUUCUGUCACCAGCACACCCAGCUUGGUGAUGGCCACCAGCAGUGGGAACAUGACCACAGAGCCUGUGGUAGACACCAGUGCAGGCAGCUCUGCUCCUGCUCCAGCUGGCACCAGCUCCAUGGAUGCGGUCCUUCUGCUGUCUUCUGUGACAGAGCCAGGCAGGCAGAGAGAUGUCUCACAGCGUGAUGCUGACCUCGGUGAGCUUCCAACGAAGCCGCUGCCUAUGUUUCCUCCUGGUGUUUCAGUGUCUUCAUCCUCUCCAAGUUCUUCAGUUCCAGAGGGAGGACAACAGGUUUCUGGUGUUCCUACUGAGACUAUGUAUGUUCUGACCGUGCUCUCCACCCAUGAGGAGAGGACAUCUCAGGAUGCAGCUAACCAUGACACAUGGAGCAUGGUGGUGGGAAGCCCUACAUCUCACCCAGAUAUCGCCAGGGAGCCCCGCUCCAGUUCCAUCCCAUCCUCCCCAGCAUGGCCCAGAGGCAGACAUGUCUCCUCCAGCCAUACAGCAUACAUGGAGCCUGAGGUCACCUUUUCAUCCAGGGUGUCCACCUACUUCUCGUCUGCUGCUGAGCCUUCCACUGUGGGAAGCAGCCAUCAUUCGCUAAGCAGCUCAAGUAUGGAGGAAGGGAUUUCCAGCCCCCACACCGAUCCCAUAUAUGGUUCAGCCACAUUGGCUAGUGGUAGAGAGGGGACACCGGUGACGAUCAGCGUGCUGACCCAUACCACAGAGAGUUCUGCUUCCCACACGGAGACCACCAAUGCUUCAGAACCAACUCGGUUGGUGUCAGUGGAGCAGAGUGGGAUGGCCAACACCUCGGUUGGCAACGAAGGCCUCGCGACAGAGACGCUUUUCACCCAUUCUUCCAAGCUGCUCACUGAUUCAUCUUUCCAAAAUGAUCUCACAAGCUUUCCAAGUAGCCAUCAGCCAGUCAGCAGUAUUGAUGCAGAGAAAAGGACCUCAGUUUCUCAUACAGACGGCACAUACAUUUCAACCAUAUACACCAGAGGAGGAGAAAGGACUCUCCUAUCUAUUUCAAACAGCAGCACCUCUGCUGACUCCUCUGAAAGUUCCACAUUUUUUUCAGAAAUUUCCAACCCUUCAGAUUCAUCGAAAUCACCUGUGGCACAGGACAGAAAGAACAACAUAUCCAGUGAUGGCAGUUUUGUUCAACCAUCGACGGAGCCAUUGCUGGUACACUCUUCCAAAGCACUGACUUCUGCUUCUGUAGGCAAUGUACAGAAUACAACUGUCUUUGACACUGACUCCAGAUUGUUGCCCACUGGCAGAUCAUCUCUAUCUUCAUCAGUAUCUUCACGCUCUUNNNNNNNNNNNNNNNNNNNNNNNNNNNNNNNCUGCAUCGCUCACUCUUAUCAACACCACCACCAACUUAUCUGUUUGCAACAUCAGAGUCGUCUGAGCCGCUCUCUUCCUCUGUGA
ensembl:lncRNA